UACGGAGGGUGCAAGCGUUAUCCGGAUUUACUGGGUUUAAAGGGUGCGUAGGCGGUCGGGUAAGUCUGAUGUGAAAUCUCACAGCUUAACUGUGAAACUGCAUUGGAUACUAUUCGGCUUGAGAGUUGGAGGGGGGACUGGAAUUCUUGGUGUAGCAGUGAAAUGCGUAGAUAUCAAGAGGAACACCAGUGGCGAAGGCGAGUCCCUGGACAACUUCUGACGCUGAGGCACGAAAGCUAGGGGAGCAAACAGG
rnacentral:rRNA from 1 species